GACGAACGCUGGCGGCGUGCUUAACACAUGCAAGUCGAGCGGUAAGGCCCUUUCGGGGGUACACGAGCGGCGAACGGGUGAGUAACACGUGGGUGACCUGCCCUCAGCUCUGGGAUAAGCCUGGGAGACCGGGGUCUAAUACCGGAUAUGACUCCAUGACGCAUGUUGUGGGGUGGAAAGCCUUGUGCGGCUGGGGAUGGGCCCGCGGCCUAUCAGCUUGUUGGUGGGGUGAUGGCCUACCAAGGCGA
rnacentral:rRNA from 1 species